rnacentral:rRNA from 1 species
AGCUACAGGCUUAACACAUGCAAGUCGAGGGGCAGCAUGGUCUUAGCUUGCUAAGGCCGAUGGCGACCGGCGCACGGGUGAGUAACACGUAUCCAACCUGCCGUCUACUCUUGGACAGCCUUCUGAAAGGAAGAUUAAUACAAGAUGGCAUCAUGAGUCCGCAUGUUCACAUGAUUAAAGGUAUUCCGGUAGACGAUGGGGAUGCGUUCCAUUAGAUAGUAGGCGGGGUAACGGCCCACCUAGUCUUCGAUGGAUAGGGGUUCUGAGAGGAAGGUCCCCCACAUUGGAACUGAGACACGGUCCAAACUCCUACGGGAGGCAGCAGUGAGGAAUAUUGGUCAAUGGGCGAGAGCCUGAACCAGCCAAGUAGCGUGAAGGAUGACUGCCCUAUGGGUUGUAAACUUCUUUUAUAAAGGAAUAAAGUCGGGUAUGGAUACCCGUUUGCAUGUACUUUAUGAAUAAGGAUCGGCUAACUCCGUGCCAGCAGCCGCGGUAAUACGGAGGAUCCGAGCGUUAUCCGGAUUUAUUGGGUUUAAAGGGAGCGUAGAUGGAUGUUUAAGUCAGUUGUGAAAGUUUGCGGCUCAACCGUAAAAUUGCAGUUGAUACUGGAUAUCUUGAGUGCAGUUGAGGCAGGCGGAAUUCGUGGUGUAGCGGUGAAAUGCUUAGAUAUCACGAAGAACUCCGAUUGCGAAGGCAGCCUGCUAAGCUGCAACUGACAUUGAGGCUCGAAAGUGUGGGUAUCAAACAGGAUUAGAUACCCUGGUAGUCCACACGGUAAACGAUGAAUACUCGCUGUUUGCGAUAUACAGCAAGCGGCCAAGCGAAAGCGUUAAGUAUUCCACCUGGGGAGUACGCCGGCAACGGUGAAACUCAAAGGAAUUGACGGGGGCCCGCACAAGCGGAGGAACAUGUGGUUUAAUUCGAUGAUACGCGAGGAACCUUACCCGGGCUUAAAUUGCAGAUGAAUUACGGUGAAAGCCGUAAGCCGCAAGGCAUCUGUGAAGGUGCUGCAUGGUUGUCGUCAGCUCGUGCCGUGAGGUGUCGGCUUAAGUGCCAUAACGAGCGCAACCCUUGUUGUCAGUUACUAACAGGUUCCGCUGAGGACUCUGACAAGACUGCCAUCGUAAGAUGUGAGGAAGGUGGGGAUGACGUCAAAUCAGCACGGCCCUUACGUCCGGGGCUACACACGUGUUACAAUGGGGGGUACAGAGGGCCGCUACCACGCGAGUGGAUGCCAAUCCCCAAAACCUCUCUCAGUUCGGACUGGAGUCUGCAACCCGACUCCACGAAGCUGGAUUCGCUAGUAAUCGCGCAUCAGCCACGGCGCGGUGAAUACGUUCCCGGGCCUUGUACACACCGCCCGUCAAGCCAUGGGAGCCGGGGGUACCUGAAGUGCGUAACCGCGAGGAGCGCCCUAGGGUAAAACUGGUGACUGGGGCUAAG